rnacentral:rRNA from 1 species
UACGAAGGGGGCUAGCGUUGCUCGGAAUCACUGGGCGUAAAGCGCACGUAGGCGGCUUUCUAAGUCAGGGGUGAAAUCCUGGAGCUCAACUCCAGAACUGCCUUUGAUACUGGGGAGCUCGAGUCCGGAAGAGGUGAGUGGAAUUCCCGGUGUAGCGGUGAAAUGCGCAGAUAUCGGGAGGAACACCAAUGGCGAAGGCAGCUUGCUGGGACGGUACUGACGCUGAGACGCGAAAGCGUGGGGAGCAAACAGGG